rnacentral:rRNA from 1 species
GAUGAACGCUGGCGGCGUGCCUAAUACAUGCAAGUCGAGCGAACAGACGAGGAGCUUGCUCCUCUGACGUUAGCGGCGGACGGGUGAGUAACACGUGGAUAACCUACCUAUAAGACUGGGAUAACUUCGGGAAACCGGAGCUAAUACCGGAUAAUAUAUUGAACCGCAUGGUUCAAUAGUGAAAGACGGUUUUGCUGUCACUUAUAGAUGGAUCCGCGCCGCAUUAGCUAGUUGGUAAGGUAACGGCUUACCAAGGCAACGAUGCGUAGCCGACCUGAGAGGGUGAUCGCUCACACUGGAACUGAGACACGGUCCAGACUCCUACGGGAGGCAGCAGUAGGGAAUCUUCCGCAAUGGGCGAAAGCCUGACGGAGCAACGCCGCGUGAGUGAUGAAGGUCUUCGGAUCGUAAAACUCUGUUAUUAGGGAAGAACAAAUGUGUAAGUAACUAUGCACGUCUUGACGGUACCUAAUCAGAAAGCCACGGCUAACUACGUG